rnacentral:rRNA from 1 species
AUACGGAGGGUGCGAGCGUUAAUCGGAAUUACUGGGCGUAAAGGGUGCGUAGGCGGCUUGAUAAGUCGGAUGUGAAAGCCCCGGGCUUAACCUGGGAAUUGCAUUCGAUACUGUCAGGCUGGAGUAUGUCAGAGGUUGGCGGCAUUCCUGGUGUAGCGGUGAAAUGCGUAGAUAUCAGGAGGAACACCAGUGGCGAAGGCGGCUAACUGGGGCAAUACUGACGCUGAGGCACGAAAGCGUGGGGAGCAAACAGGAUUAGAAACCCUAGUAGUCC